UCGCCGCCAACACCGCCCUUGCAGCCGUCCGCCUCCGGCGCGCCCACGUCGCCCCCCGCCCGUCGUCGCCCUCGCCCACCACAUCGAUGUCCACGUCCUCGGCCGUCAGCACCGUCUGGCCGGACAUGUCGCUGGCGCUGCCGCCGCCGGAGAGGGUCAUCCCUCCUCGGGAUCCAGCGGGAGGCGGGGCCACGUGACCGUGCGUGACGUCAGGGCCGCGGCCGAGCCGGCCAAACUCAAGUUGGUUCAGGGAAUUGUCAACAAAGGGACGAGAGACGCGCAACUCCGCUCCGCACUGUGCGCCAGCAUCCCCGGGGCACGGAGGGCGCUGCGGCCCGCCCGGAGACCCCCCCACCCAGGCUGGAUCCGGGCCCUGGGGCCCAGGGAGCGGGUGUGGACAAAUCCUCCAAGAUUUAACUUCCAAGAAAACCGGCGGCGGAGCGGGUGGAGGAGGCGAGGAUGUGUGGCCAAUGCACGCGGAGUGCAAGGCCGCCUAGUUGGGAGCCGCAAGAGCCUGCCUGGUGUGGCAGGCACACGGAACCCAAUCCCUGUCUGUCCGCUGCGGCCUGGGAGGGGAGCGCCGGCCUCACCAGAGGAAGGAGCACGAGGGGAGGAGUUCCGAGAGGAAAUAAUUAGUGAAAUAUUUGCAGAAGAUGCUGGGAUGUGGAUUUAAUUCCGGAUGGACAGUGGUGCUUCUGAUUCCCUCAGUCUGUUUCCCCACCCACGAUCUCCU
rnacentral:lncRNA from 1 species